GACCAAAAAAAAAAAAAAAAAAAAAAAGAGGACAGAGUCACAAAAGCCUUUGGUUGACCAAAAAAAAUCUCCUCCCAAAGAUGGGCAGCAAGAAAGAAAAGAUGUGUCCAGCUUCACAGGUGAUAUCAGUCCUGGGAGGGCUGAGCACUGCACUGUUUCCCUUCUGAUUUGUGCCAGUAUGGAAGCAGAAGAGCAGUCAGGAAAAACAAGGCACCACUAAAGGACCUGCCUGGCAUGAAGUGAGGAACCUACAGUCAAAUUCACAACAGAGCAACUUGUUGUUAAUAAAGUGGGAAACCAACACAGGUCUUCUCUCCCCUGCAGCCCACCUUCAUGGCAGGUGAGAGCUGGCAGCACCUUCCACCUUGAUUUCUGCAAUGGAACCAAAGCCCAGUCUCACCAAGAGAUGAGGAGACCAAGAGAAGGAUUAAUGUCCCCACUGAAAGCCUUUCAAAAGGUUCUAAAAGAGGACCAGUGUAAAUUCUCCUUGUUGCCAUAUGAGCAGAUAUGAGAGCUGACAACUUCAGCAGGGAGGAGAGAAAGCCUGGGGGUUUGUCUAGAUUUUUUUUUUAAACAGAAAACUUUGGAUUUACAGAAAAAUCCACGUGGAAAUGUGGUUGACCCUUCCCAUUGCAUCUUGGUUUCUCCAGUAAGUAGCACUCUGUUGUGCCCUGGAAAAAGUUCAUUAUCUAUCCAUACAAAUGUGGUGUAGAUGUGCUUAACUCAGUGUUACAUGGUGUGUCAGAGGAAAAAACACUUAAAAAUGGUGAUGCCAAGGACAGAACUGUAGUCCUUGUAACACUAUUUGUAGUUUUAGUGUUGUUUCCCCCUGCCUUUUCCUUCCAGAGAUCUCUGGCAUUCUGAGCCAGGGUUCAGGAUGCAGGAGGGAGCUGUGCAAGCCCACGGGCAUCACUAGAUGGUGCCAGCAGUCCACCAGCUCCUGCACUGCUCUUCCAGCCUGCAGGAACAUCCCGGCUGUGCGCUGGACACCUCGGCUGAGGAUGACGAGCCUGCUUUAUUUUUCCCAAGCUGAAAACAAGAAUCAACUGCGUUUUUCACAACGUUCCUAGUUAGUGAAUCGCUUCUAGGCAAAAGUAGUGCCAGAAACAUGGUCACGUUUUCAAGCAGCUGUAAAAUUUUACACAUGAAGAAAAGGAGCAGUUCUUGGGAGAGGAAUGAUAGGUGCAGCAGAACAGGUGUGUGAUGUGUUUAUGUGACACUGAACCGGUACUAACCCACUCUGUUACCCCACUGUGAGAAGUCAGAACAUGGUGCAGAACACUGAUGGCAUUGGUUUCUCUGUGUCCCCAGACACUCUGAAAAGGAAAUGCAUCUGGAGCCAGAAGUGAACACUUUCUCUGAACAGCAUCCCUCCAAGAAUAUCCAGGAAAACAGAGGCUGUCAAAGCUGUGAGCCAAAUGACAACUCAGGUUCUGACCUGUUGGGUUUCCUUCCACCUGAUAAGAAUUUGGUUGUCAAAAGAAAAUUUUACUCAGGAAGAUCCAAGUGGACAAGCAAGUCUGGACAACUUUCCUCGCCCCCCCCGCCCCCCCCCUUCCCCCAGGGGUAUUUCAACCUUUAAGCAUUUGUCUAUGACCUAAAGUAGGAUUUGAAAAUGUUGAAAACUGUUGAAAUAACAUAACUUCAUUGCAAUUUCUCCCAAUGUGGACUUGAAAUAAUUAUUGUGAAAAUACAAUUUGCAUUUUUGUUGAAGUUGUUUUCCAUUAGGAAACCCUCUGAUGGAUAGUUUCCAGCUGGUUCUUGAGGUUAGAUUUGUAUGCCCUGCUUUCUUUCAUCUCUUCUCUUUUUGGCCUUUGCUCCCUUCCUUGUGCCUAGUCAUUAAUGGGUUAUAGUGCUGCAAAUCAUAAGCUUGCAUUUGCAUUGUAGUUUUUAUAGCCUUCAAAACAACAAUGUCUGUUUAUUUCAGAAAGUGAACAGAUAAAAGCCUUGGUCAAUAAGUAAUUUCUUUACUCCAUUAUGUACUUACCCCCACAUUUGUAACAGUGAGACAAAGGAAGAAGUUUUGUAGGAGUCUGUUGGGGCUGGCCAAAUGUUUUCACUGGAACACUUUCACACACACAAUGUUCUUCAGUUAUUCUAAACCCCCACAACUUCAGCACAAACAGAAUUUGGACUUCUUGUGAAAAUCCAGUAAUAAUUUUUCAUAUUUUAAAUGAUAUUUUAGUUGAGCAUUUUUAGAAAAAAACAAUCUUAACAAUUCUUUUACAGAUUAGUUGACUUCAUCUUCUAUUGCUUACCAGCUGACCUCAAAACUGAUAAGCUUAUAAAUCUCUUGACAAAGUUUUUAACUAAGUGCAGUUCAAAGGGAGAGAGAGAGGCAAACAGUGACCCUGCUGAGGAUUCUGGGACUGCUCAUUGAGCCAACCAGUCCUCAGAAUCGGAAGGUCAUCAAGUGCCUGUAUUACAUGAACACUUUAACCAUCUGAAUUAUGUGGCCUGAUAUUUCAUAUAGAUUAAACUCCAACAGAUUUUCCCCUUAGUACAGGAUUUUCCAUAGCAAUAAUUCCAAUAGGAAUUUCAACUGUAUUUGUCCUACUUAGUCAUAGUGGAAAUAAGAGAGUGGAGGAAAACAAGGAGCAAGUCAGAAGAAGCUGUAGAAAUGCUGCACACAUUCCACACUUUCUCUGUGUGGGUUAAUUUCUCAGACUUUUGAAUGGAAUGACACUACUUUGGACACUACUUUAGACAGGAGAUCUGCUCCAGAAAAUUGGGCCAAAGGUCACUGAAAAGCAAUUUCUGAACAGCUGCUGGAUGAAAAAUAAAAGAAAACAGGCCUUCCAUGGGUGCCCCUGUGACCCUCUGCCCUGGAUAAAAUUUUAUUUACAUAUAUAUGUGCCAGGUGUGGCAAUGUCAGUGCCCUGACAAGUACGAAGUGUGUUCUGUUCACAAGAAUUUUCUCAGGGCGAAGAACAAAAUACCCCACCUCAAAGGCAAAGCUGGAGAGGGGCUGGAUGUUCCAGUUAGCAGCUGUACAUGAGAAACAAAGCAUUUUGGAUUCCCAUGCCCAUAGUCUCCUCCUCCUGAGAUAGUGAAGUAUUCUUUGGAGAUAAAAAGGGAGGUGAAGUACUUGAGAAAUCAUUUCUGGGUCAGAAAGAGGAUAUGGUGCUGACACUCAUUUUACUCUAAGGAACAAAACAAAGAGUGGUAAUUUAUUUCAAAUCUCAGCCCUUUAGAACGCAGACAGAAACUGCUCACAUAUAAAAACCUGCUCCUUGAUUGAGAUGUUUCAUUAACUGUAUGAAAUGGGACAAGGAAGAAACACUUGGGAAACCAGUGAAUUCAAAGAGAUUAUUUGAAGGUUAUGUGGUAAAACGCUUAGUUUCUUCAACUAAUUAGGGCUGCUGGGGAAUGUGCAGUUUCUAGGUCAUAUUAAGUGUAAGAAGCUUCCUUCUUUAGCCAAUAGAAAAAUAAGGCUUGGCUGAACUGUGUUUGCAAUGUAAUUUUUUCCCCCUUUGGUUAUCUCUCUUCAUUUUUUUAUUCUGUAUACUCGGCUACCAAAUCAGGUAGAGGCAGCAACCAAAACCACACCAUUUUAUUAAAAUCUACAGUUCAUAUUCAUGUCUCAUCUGGAAGAUCCCCCAAGUAAUUUUGAACUGUAAAACUUCAUAUAUGGUGCUUAAAAUCUUCUUCUUCAGCUGCACCUCAUGAUGGUGGUGGUUGUUGCUGUAUUUCCCAUGCUCUGAAAACAUGAACAAAAAGUGCAGAUGGUCCAGUCCUGGGCUCUGUUUAUCUUGAGAAGCUGAUUAUUUUGGUAGAGGAUGUUACACAAUAUUUUUAAAUGGGAAGGUUUUGUUUAUAUUUCUUUUCUUCUGCUGCAGUGAUGCAGCUGAUUGUUCCAGUCUCAGGACAGACUGUAGUCACAGCUGGUCUUGCCGUCCCCAUCUUACACAACCAUCUAGUGCCCCUCUGAGCAACAAACAAUCUUCUUCUGAGCUCCUGUCAAGGCUGGCUCCACCAUUCACACCUCUCUGCUACAAAAGUGCUUGCUACAGUUCAAUAGUGGAGGGAAGAAACAGCUGGUCUGUGCAUUUGUGGGAGAGCAGCAUUUAAUAAGCAGUGACAAGUGGCAGAAGGAAGAUCAAUCAUCACUGCUCUCCAGGAUUUGAAGUGGUUUUAUGCAGGACCUGGAGGAAAUGGAAUAUGCUUGGAAAGGAGGUGCAGUCACGAUGGAAAACAAAAUUUUAUGAUCCUUCUACUUCUAGAGCAAGAUAAGAAAUCACAUAACUUGCAGUGAAUCUCAGAGAUGAAGCUAUCCAGCAUGGGAUGAAUUAUCUACCACUAUCUGAAAAUCACUUGUGUGAGGUGGUCAAAACUUCACCAGCUUGAUCUUGACUUCAGACCACUGUAAAUGCAAAGCCACGGUCAGCAGAUGGACACUAGAGAAAUGGAGAAAAGCUGCAUGAUAGGUCUUCUCAAUUUCUUCAUGCAUCAAGAUGAAAGUCAAGACAGGGGGACAUGGACAUUGUAAAGGAACAUGCUUUUAGCCUGCAGUCUAACCUCCUGUUCUGGUUGUUUCCACUGCCUUUGGCAAUUCACUGGUACAAAAGGAAAUAUUGAUUUAGAGAUCUGUCUUAGCAUUGUAUCUUCCCUAUUAAAUACAGCAGGGAAAUUGAGAAUUCUGAGUAUUGAAUUUCAGAAAGGAUAAAUUUAUCAGCUAUUGCAGCAGACUUUUCCAAAGCAUAGAAAGUACUAUUAAAACAUAAAUGUACUAUCAGAGCAGUCAUGUAAUUUGAUUGGUUUUCUUCACUACCUUUGCCAUGCUUCCACACUACAGUCAGCAUUUGAGCUCUUUUGGCUCAGAAGAUGCCUACAGCAUGGAAGAAUGAUGUGCACUUCCAGCUGUGCCCAGCUGCUCUCCAGCCAGCAAAGUGCUGUGGGGCAGACCCAUUUUUUCAGAUUUCUACCAGCAACUGGUAUUGGAGGGUGUUGGCUUACUGAUGGUGUGAUGUUCAAACUGUAAGUUUUUAAUUUCACAGCAGCCCAGCCAGCCACUCUCCUAAGAUGAUUAAACGUUGGUUUUUGCCUUUUGAGCUCUGGCAGAGUGUUCCCUGAGUGCACUUAUACCGGGAAAGCUCUUAGAGCAGUUGGCUGGCUCUAAGUAUCCUGCCAAUGAGAACUGGAAAGGCUGCAGUAUUUAUCUUGCUGAUUUGUGGGCAUUUCAUUUUUCAGGUGGGAGCCUUUGGUCACAAAACGACCAUUGUCAAAGCUAAAGCAGCCACUGUGAGACUUUCUCAAAGGAGCCUCUCUCCUGGAUGUCUCAGGGUAUGUGUUAAAAAUUGGUGCACACGUGAGUCAUAAAGUCUCCCUGUAUUAUACAGAUGCCUGAAACAAAGAAGAAAAAGAAAAGCAUCUCCACACACCAAGAAAAUUCUUCCUUAGUCCAGAAGGAACUGAAGGCUCUGGGUGAUUCUUCUACUCUCCCAUACAAGAAGAAGUAAAAAAAAACCCACCUUAGCCUUGUUUAGAAAAUAAGGUGGGUAAGAAUUUAUAGGCAUUUCUGGUUUAUUUGUAAAUCAAAUGGUGGGUGAUAUCUGCAUCAAGGAACUCGAGACCAUGACGUAUCUCAGCUGGGACGAGAAUCAGAUGAGAAUUGAGGAGUUUGGUUCUUGGUGUUGAGCCAAAUCCUGCAGCACCAGAGCAUGGCUAGGUCUUACCAGGUCAGGUUUAUCCUCAGAGGUGACUUCACGCAGCUGGAGAUCCAAUACUUUGUUUCUGAGCCUUUUCAGAGAAGUAGUGACUCAGCUGGAGUUCUUCCAUCUGCUUGUGCCUUGAAAUACAGAGGUAUGGGUUAACUUUUCCCUAAAGACUAAGAGAAAGCUGUCUCUUUAGCCAGCCUAAUCUUCCUUUCACUCCUUUAGAAAGCUCACAUUGGGUAUUUAAUCCUGCUUUGCAGGAUUCAGCAGCAGAGAAUCACCUGCCUCACAUUUGAAAGACAAAUAAAAAAUAAUUGUUAGUCAUCCUUA